rnacentral:rRNA from 1 species
UGGGGAAUAUUGCACAAUGGGCGCAAGCCUGAUGCAGCAACGCCGCGUGAACGAUGAAGGUCUUCGGAUCGUAAAGUUCUGUUGCAGGGGAAGAUAAUGACGGUACCCUGUGAGGAAGCCCCGGCUAACUACGUGCCAGCAGCCGCGGUAAUACGUAGGGGGCUAGCGUUAUCCGGAUUUACUGGGCGUAAAGGGUGCGUAGGUGGUCCUUCAAGUCGGUGGUUAAAGGCUACGGCUCAACCGUAGUAAGCCGCCGAAACUGGAGGACUUGAGUGCAGGAGAGGAAAGUGGAAGUCCCAGUGUAGCGGUGAAAUGCGUAGAUAUUGGGAGGAACACCAGUAGCGAAGGCGGCUUUCUGGACUGCAACUGACACUGAGGCACGAAAGCGUGGGUAGCAAACAGG